GCAUAUUAUAAUCAAAUUGCUUAAAACCAACGAUAAAGAGAAAAUCUGAAAAGCAGCCAGACAGAAAAAACACAUUAUACAGAGGAAAAGAUUCAUAAACUGAAGACCGAUAGCAAAAUGAUGUUCAGUUAAGCAAAUUCAACAUGUCUGAACCUUCAUAAAUUCGGUAUAGUGUGAAUUUAUGAUCUAAAUUUUUUUUUACUAUCCUAUUAUUCUAUUCACUGUGAAAAAUAUUUCUUUGAAAAGUUACUGGAUUUCUUUACACACUGCUAUGGACUGAAUGUUUGUGUCACUCCCAAAUUCGCAUGUUGAAAUCCUAGCCCCCAGUGAUGCUGUCCUGCAGUGUGAUCCUGGCCUCGGGAGACGUCUGUCCCCAGCAGAGCUAAUCACCUUUACUCUUUGGGUGAAAUUGAAACUGAUAAUAUUUUGAUGUCAACGCAUCUCAUUCAAGAGCUGAGCUGUGAAAUCCUACGAAGCCAUGGCAGGGGUAGGUCCCGUGCGUGCCCCAAAACCAAGAAAGCCAGGCUUUGGCAAAGGAACAAACAAAAGCAGCAGCAGCAGCAGAGAACAGAAGGCCAUGCGGUCCCAGUGAUGGCAAAAGUCACUGAUCGCCACCCUUCCUGGUCAGAUGGCCACCUUUCCUGGUCACUGAUCUCCAUGCCUAGACCCUCCCCUCCUCCUCCAGGUCUGACUACUCUUCCUGUCCCUGGAUUCUCAAUCUUCCCAAGUCUCAACAACCCCAGCCACCUCAUACAUUCAUAAAUUCCCCCUUCCUCAGAAUCCAUGUGUCUACCCGCCCUCCUGCCCCUAAUGUGAACACACUUCCCGUUUUCCACAGGGAGCCUGUGGUUCUUUAUUUGGUUCUUCUCCCUACAGGAGCCCCCUCUCAUUUAUUUUUUUAACGUCUCCCUUUCAUAAAGUGUAGCUUUCUGAGGUUAUCCAAUCCUAUCUGGUGACCGAUCCAGGAAAAGAGGAAAUGAAGCUGGCCCUCCUGUGUGGCUUGGGGAGAACCUAGGUAAGAAUGACAGGCUGGGUAAUGAAUGGCAGCUCUGGUUGCUUGCAAGGGUGAUCCUGGUCAUUGCAUCACGAGAAAGUCAGUCUCACGGGGGUCUUGGUAGCCCUCCUUUCCAGCUGACAGCCCUCUGAGGCUCUGCACGCAGAGUUUUUCAUUUCUUUGUACACCAUUGCUUUUUCAGGUAGAAGAAAACAGAGACGCUUAGUCCCUAAACUGCAUCUCAGUGAUGGAGGGGCACACUCGGGUUCACUGUGGCUUUUGAACCCACCCAUUUGAGGGUUUAGAGGCUCUGUUUGAUGACAGAUGAAAUAAUAUUGAUUUUAAAACCAGCUCCACCUCUAGAACAUUUCGACAGAGUGUUUUCAAGCCAAACCAAACACCAGAUGAAGCCCUCUUAGUUCAAGGCAACUUUAUUUCACCAGCAGCUGCUUGUUAGCUGUGGAUCUGCUGUGGUGAACACACACAGGGGCGCCUGUCUUUCCCCAUCAUGAGACGGGCCCCCCAUGCUAAAAGCAGUCACAUUUAAUACACUCAGGGAAGGGGGGCCCAAUUUCUAAACCUGAUGUCUACAAAUCUGAUUAAACAAAUUAAAGGGGCAUGUGCACAUUAUAAGCAGGUUCUUCAUCUUACAAAAGCAUCCAGUGCAGAGUCCCUCUAAGGUCCUCCUGCAUAGUCUAUUUAUAAAAAUCCAAUUUCACAGGACCUUCUCCACAGCUGACAGGCAGAGGCCAAAAGGGAGAAUACCAGCUUUUCUUUGGCCCCACAAUGGACCCAACUGAAAAAAAUGUUAAAGUGUAGCAUAGGCAGGUGCUGUGGCUCACACCUGUAAUCCCAGCACUUUGGGAGGCCAAGGCGGGAGGAUCACCUGAAACCAGGAGUUCGAGACCAGCCUGGGCGACACAGUGAGACCUCUGUCUCUAUUAAAAUUAAAAAAAAAAUUCUUUAAAUUAGGCCGGCAUGGUGGUGUGUACUUGUAGUCCCAGCUAUUCAGGAGCUGAGGUGGGAGGAUGGCUUGAGCACAGGAGUUAGAAGCUGUAGUGAGCCGUGACUACAGCACUGCACUCUAGCCUGGGCAACAGAGAGAUCUGUUGUACAAAAAAUGUGUAGCUAGCAGAAAAAGGUAAGUCAGAUUCACUGGAAAACAUCUGCUCCCAGGAAGCUGCAGGCAAAUGUGGCUUAUUCAAGACUAAGGUGAACAGUUUCCUCCUGGACAUAAAGUGGCAAAAAUGGGGUCAAAUCAUCUCUGAUGGGUCCCUUCUGGCAUUGGAAUUGCAUCAUUUUUAUGACGAGCAUACCAGUGAUGCUCAUGUAUUAAUCACUGACAUUCUCUCAGGGUAACCUUCUCACAAGCAUACAGUAUGCAUUCUUUUUUUUUUUUUUUUUUGAGACAAGGUCUCCCUCUGUUGCCCAGGCUGCAGUUCAGUGGCACGAUCAUAGCUCACUGCAGCCUUGACCUCCCAGGCUCAAGCAAUCCUCCUACCUCAGCCUCCUGAGUAGCUGGGACUACAGGUGCAUGCCACCAUGCCUGGCUAAUUUUUGUAUUUUUUGUAGAGAUGGGGUCUCACUAUGUGGCUGAGGCUGGUGUAUGAACUCCUGGCCUCAAGCAAUCCUCCCACCUCAGCCUCUCAACAUGCUAGGAUUACAGGCAUGAACUACCACACCCUGCCUCAAUAUGUAUCUUUAUGUGUCUACUUGUUAGGAUGUUAGGGCAUUUUUGUGAUAGAUAUAAAUACUUUCCAGAAGGCUAAUACGCAUACAAUAAAGUUAAUUUACUCAUUUGCUUCAUCAUAGGAAAACAGCUAGACACAUUCAGCAAAUUUAGAAGAUAUGUUUGGGACAGCGUCAUGUGAAAUCCAAGUUAUGUGGCAUAUAUGAAAUUUGCAUGGCAGGGGCGUGGUGGGGGCACUCUGCAAGAUGCCUCAAAGAAUCAGAAGUUGCUGGGUACGGUGGCUCACGCCUGUAAACCCAGCACUUUGGGAGGUCAAGGCGGGCGGAUCACCUGAGGUCAGGAGAUGACCAUCCUGGCUAACACGGUGAAAACCUGUCUCCAAUAAAAACACAAAAAAUUAGCCGGGCGUGGUCGCGGGCACCUGUAGUCCCAGCUACUCGGGAGGCUGAGGCAGGAGAAUGGCGUGAACCCAGGAGGCGGAGCUUGCAGUGAGCCAAGAUCGCGCUACUGCACUCCAGCCUGGGCAACAGAGCGAAACUCCGUCAAAAAAAACAAAAAAAAAUCGGAAGUUGGUUCAGCUCUAGGCCAGCUGAAACUCAUAUAAUGACACGUCCACAAGACUGGCAAUUUGGGAAGGACACGCUGUCCAUACUGAGAAGCUGUGGAUGUAGUCAGUUAUCGUCUUAAAUAAGAGUCUCAAACUGAAAUUCACAAGGGCAAAAUGCUGCAAAUUAUGGGAGUGAUCUGCAACAAUGCUGCAUCUCACGUGGGCAGUUCCACGCAAACUACUCUGGGGCUGUGGCAGCAGAGAUGCAUUUAAGAACAGUGAGCCAGGUGCGGUGGCUCAUGUCUGUAAUUCCAGCAUUCUGUGAGGCUGAGGAGGGAGGACCACUUGAGGUCAGUUCGAGACCAGCUGGCUAACAUGGCAAAACCCUGUGUCUACUAAAAAUACAAAAAAAUUAGCUGGGUGUGAUGGCACAGGCAUGGUGGAGCACACCUGUCAUCCCAGUUACUUGGGAGGCUGAGGCACGAGAAUCACUUGAACCCAGGAGGCAGAGGUUGCAGUGAGCCGAGAUACCACUGCACCCCAGCCUGGGCAACAGAGCAAGACUCUGUCUAAAAAAUUAAAAAAAUAAAAUUAAAACAGUGAGUGAUUCCCUUGACACAUGCCAGGAAAGCCAGCCAGCAAAAUGAUAAAUCAGACAAAACUAAGCAAUUAAGGGUCCCUAUGGAAGUUUAUGAUACCAAUUUAACCCUUGAGAUCAAAGUUAUAGACACCUACAGUGCUCUCCCAAAAGUGUUUCCCCCUAGAGAGUAUUAAACAUCCAUGUUAAAUGAUGUCAACAACUUUCCACAUCUUACUUCUAAAAUUUUUAGAUUCAAUCCCGUGAAAAAACGUUUAUCUUCACAAACUAGAAUCAGGGUAAGUAAGGUAGGACCCUAUUAUAGCACCUCGAGGUGACCAACUAAGUUAUAGCACCUCGAGGAUGACCAACUAAGUUACAGCACCUUGAGGGUGACCAACUAAGUUACAGCACCUCGAGGGUGACCAAUUAAGUUAUAGCACCUCGAGGGUGACCAACUAAGUUAUAGCACCUCGAGGGUGACCAACAAAGUUAUAGCCCAGGGCUGAGGGGUUUCCCAGGAUGUGGGACUUUUCAGUGCUAAAACCAGAACAGUCCUGGGCAAACCAGGCUGGUUGGUCACCCUAAUUUGGAAGAAGACAGAUUCCAAAGCAUAACUACAAGCAUUACUACAAAUUUGAAGGGCCCAAUAUAAUGCAGUCGGCCUACAGGGUUUGCCUACCAGAACUGCACAGGGGGAUCUUACUUACAUGGGGAAAAUAAAACCCACAAAAUUGAAUGUCUCUACUGGCUUCCCUUUGAAUGUUUUGUAUUUUACAGAUAGAGCCUCAGAUCCUGGGCAUCGAUAUUCCACAUGGAUCCUGUUUGUACCUCUUGUAUUCACACCGGGGAAACUGCAAAGGGAAGACUGCUAAGUAAUGUAAGGGGGCCCGUGCCUGCACAAAUUCUUCCUAGCAGGCACACUGGGGGCCUUAGCAGCGUAUGUGUUGUGAGCGAGUAACACUUUGCAUCCGCAACGGACUUCAUGCCUUUCAGACAAUCUGCCAGACCAGUCCUAAUGGCAACCUUUUAAAAAAGGAUGACAAGUCCUUCUAGCAGGCUGUCACAUGUUGCCAGAUUAAAACAUUGUGUAAUUAUUUACAGGAGACGGUGGGGUGUCAGAUCAUUUGGCUGGAAAGACCAUGUUUCCAAAUAAAUUUGAGAGAUAGCUACAGCUGCUCUAAAACAGAGCAAAAUAUAUGGCAACAAAAGGAAGAAGAACACAUUAUUGAGGCAAAUCAUGCAAUUAAGUAUCCACUCUUUGUCAUAGGGCAUUUUGGCUGUCCCUGCUUCUCCAGGCAAGCUUUUGGAAUAUUCUGAAUAAGAGCUGGAGAGUCAAAGAAAGAGAAAACAAAGCCCCUUUCUAUCUCCCAUACUUUUCCUUCCUGCAGGAAAAGGGACACAGUACCAUGCAGUUGAACACCAUGUCAAGUGAGGAUAAAGGAAAACAGCCAUGACAUCACUCCAUUACUGCCACCCCCAGUGUGCCUCACAGGCCCUGCAAUUUAUAAUCUUGUUUAAUCCUCCAAGCAACCGAGGAAUACAGAUAUCAUCGCCCCUGCUGUACAGAUAAGGAAGCAGAGGCUCAUUGGGGUCCAGGAGCAUGCCUGUGGACAAAUAGCUCCUAAAUGACAUUGAGUUUUAAACCCAAUCUCCAAAAAGCCUGUAUGUUUUGAGCGCCUAUGAUGUGUCAUCAGACAGUGAGGCAGGUACUUGGGAUACAAUCAGAUAAAUGGCAGAGAACCUAUCCAAGAAGCCCACAAGCUGGAAGCGAAUACAAGAAACGCCAUCACUCAUAGCCAUGACAAUUACUGAGUGCCUGUCACAUGCCUGGCAUUGUUCCCAUUCAUGACUUCAGUUCAGCCUCCCACCAGCCCACUGACCAAGGCACUAUUUUCCAUGAUGUCUUCACUUUCUGACUUUAAAACCCAGACUCUUCACCAUUAGAUCAUGUGCCUGAGAUCAAUGGCAAGAGAUGAAAGCCUGGCCAAAGCACUGUGUUAAUAAAGUAGGCUGAUUAUACAGUUUACUACAAGUAGAAGGAAUUGCCACAAACUGGUACUUCUGGAGCAGUGUUCAGGAAGAAGGCAGGAACUGCAGCUGAAUCUAGUAAUAAGACACGAUGAUGAUGAUGAUGAUGACAGCAAUGACAACAGCAACAACAAAAAUAGAGGCUGGGUGUGGUGGCUCAUGCUUGUAAUUCCAGCACUCUGGGAGGCAGAGGCAGGAGGAUCGCUUGAGCCCAGGAGUCUGAGACCAGUCUGGGCAACACGGCAAGACCCCAUCCCUACAAAAAAUUUUAAAAUUAGCUGGACAUGGUGGCAUGUAUCUGCAGUCCCAGCUACUCAGGGGGCUAGGGUAGCAGGAUCACUUGAGCCCAAGAAGUAGAGGCUACAGUGAGGUAUGAUCACACCACUGCACUCCAGCUUGGGCAACAGACGAAGACUCUGUCUCUAAAAAAAAAAAAAAAAAAAAAAAGACAAAAAAAAAGUGCUAGAGAACCAGAUUUAAAGCAGAAGCAGUCCGGAAAUCACAUGCAAAACUGCUCCCAGGGAGAAACGCAAGCCCAGGCACAGAGCCCCGCUUGAUGGCAGGUGCUGGACAAUAACAAUGCUGGGAUCCCCGCCUCUGCUGCCACUUUCCUCACCAGCAUGGAUCCUGCCCUCUCCUUUGUGUCACUCACUAAAGGCUCAAAGUCUGGUUCAAGGUAGAAACAAUUUUACGUGUCUCAGAAAGAACAAAGAGUUUAAGAUGGUGAUGCUGAGAUUCUGGACAAGAUGGACAUGGUGAUCUCUACUGGAAUCCGGGGACUGCUGUACUACGGUCAUAUACUACUGCUGGGGGCCUGGUGUUCCCGGGGUGCACUGGGGGCCUUGCUGUACUGAUA